AUGUUCUCUGUAGCUCUGUUGCUACUGGCAGCUGGAUCCUAUGUGAAGUGCGAACAACUGACUCAGCCAGCCUUUGUGACUGUGCAGCCAGGUCAACGUCUGAUCAUCAGAUGUCAGGUCUCUUAUGAUCUGAGCUACUGGACAGCUUGGAUCAGACAGGCUGCUGGGAAAGGACUGGAAUGGAUUGGGAUGAAUGAUAGUGGUGGAAACUCACACUACAAAGAUUCACUGAAGAACAAGUUUAGUAUCGACGUAGACACUUCCAGUAACACAGUGACUCUGAACGGACAGAACAUGCAGCCUGAAGACUCUGCUGUGUAUUACUGUGCAAGACGCCACAGUGACACAAACAAUCGGCAGAGCUGUACAAAAACUCCUCAGAACUUGAACAUGUCUGUUAUCACUAAACGACCAGAAGAGGCGCUCUUAGACCACAAAUGA